GGGCACACAUAGAGGAAAGACCACGUGAGGACACAGGAGCUGGUGGCCGUCUGCAUGCUAGGGAGAGAGGCCUCAGGAGAAACCAACCCUGUGGACACCUUGAUGUCAGACCUCCAGCCUCCAGAACCAUGAGAGAGAAAUUUCCAUUGUUUACAAGCUCCCCGGUUGAUGUAUUUUGUAGGGCAGCUCUAGAAAAGUAGCACAUUACCCAAAGACAGGUGUUGGCCCUCAUUUUUGCUUUUGGGAGAGUGAUUCUCACGAUUUAGGCAGACAGAGAAAAGUUUCCUUUUAAACCUAGUGCCUGGAACAGAGUAAGUGCACCGAAAGUGGUAAUUGUCAGUUUUGUUAUUGUAGUCCCUGCUGCUAUCGUUUCUGUUGCCGCUGGUUGUCACACUGUUGCUGUUGUGUUCAUUGUUGAGAGGACGGGUUGCUCAGACCCUCUAGGCCCCAGAAGGUUAAGAGACCCUCAAGAAAAAGGCAAAAGUAACUAUUUGUUCUCCACACACAGAUUUUUUUAAACUUAGAAUUCCAUUGAUAAAAUUGAAGAUGAUUUGGUUGAAUUCAAAGCCGAGGCUGAGAAUAAUUAAAAUGGGAAAGCAUUAAAAAAUGGUGAAGGCAAGAUUAAAAUUGUGGAAAAAGGUGAGAAAGAAAGCCGAUAAAGCCAAUAGUAGUGGAGCAAAUAAGGAAUAAAAUCACUUUAGGCAAAGAAAACUCCUUUCUUUCAGUGUAAUAAAGCACUGUUGGCCUUCUGAGUCACUGGAUUACGUGGACUUCUGCUGGCUGCCUCAAAAUCUUGCCGUCAUUUUUACAUUGUUCUAUGGGAAAAUCGUUUUGCAUUCUAAAUAAAAUUCCAAGUGAAUUUUGGAUUACAACAUGUCUUUAAAUUAGGCCAGCCGCUUUCUAGUUUGGAAAGGAGGCCGUGGUUCCUGCCAACACCCAGAUUGGUAUAUCACAUCCCAUAGGAAGAAAAAAUAAAAAUAAACUGUCACAUCACAACAGAGUAGAAAUUCAUUCCCUGCCUUGUAAAUGUGUUCUAGGCAUGGAAGGCUAACUUCGCCCCUGUUAAAUCCGACUUUAUUCGUGAACUUUCCUCUUUAAUUUUUGUGUAUUCCAAAGUUUCUGCAACAACAUAUUUCAUUUUUUGCAAUCAGAGAAACAAUAUAACAAAUACCUUUUUCAAAAAGAGAAAUACUCUGGAGUUUCCUUUCAAGAGAUUUUUUAAAAAAUCAUUGAAGCUGAAAAACCUCCAUUUGAUUCUAAGAUUUCUUUUUCUUUUUCUUUUCUUU
rnacentral:lncRNA from 1 species